rnacentral:lncRNA from 1 species
UAAAAUGAGUUACUACAGAUCUUUCCUCUAACUUAUCCGUCAUUUAUCUCUUGAUAUAGGCCGAACAUCUCCAAGCCUUAAGAUAACCUGACUCGACUUUUUACUAAACCAUAUCUCAUACGGUGUGAUAGAAAUAGACUUUGAUGGAACCCUAUUCAACAGAUAAAUGGCGGUUAAUAAGGCAUGUCUUCAAAGAUAUAAGGGU